CCCCUAGAUGUUCUGGGCCGCACGCGCGCUACACUGAACAGUUCAACAAGUCUUAACCUUGGCCGAUAGGUCUGGGUAAUCUUUGAACGCUGUUCGUGAUUGGGAUAGACCUUUGCAAUUAUGGGUCUUCAACGAGGAAUUCCUAGUAAACGCAAGUCAUCAGCUUGCAUUGAUUACGUCCCUGCCCUUUGUACACACCGCACGUCGCACCUACCGAUUGAAUGGUCCGGUGAAAUCUCGGGACGGCGGCUUGGUCGCUUGCGUCCGACUGCUGAAACUUGAUUAAACCAUAUCAUUUAGAGGAAGGUGAAGUCGUAACA
rnacentral:rRNA from 1 species